rnacentral:rRNA from 2 species
CCUGAUGCAGCAACGCCGCGUGAGGGACGAAGGCCUUCGGGUUGUAAACCUCUUUUAGUAGGGAAGAAGCGAAAGUGACGGUACCUGCAGAAAAAGCACCGGCUAACUACGUGCCAGCAGCCGCGGUAAUACGUAGGGUGCAAGCGUUGUCCGGAAUUAUUGGGCGUAAAGAGCUCGUAGGCGGUUUGUCGCGUCUGCUGUGAAAACUGGAGGCUCAACCUCCAGCCUGCAGUGGGUACGGGCAGACUAGAGUGCGGUAGGGGAGAUUGGAAUUCCUGGUGUAGCGGUGGAAUGCGCAGAUAUCAGGAGGAACACCGAUGGCGAAGGCAGAUCUCUGGGCCGUAACUGACGCUGAGGAGCGAAAGCAUGGGGAGCGAACAGGAUUAGAUACCCUGGUAGUCCAUGCCGUAAACGUUGGGAACUAGAUGUAGGGGCCAUUCCACGGUUUCUGUGUCGCAGCUAACGCAUUAAGUUCCCCGCCUGGGGAGUACGGCCGCAAGGCUAAAACUCAAAGGAAUUGACGGGGGCCCGCACAAGCGGCGGAGCAUGCGGAUUAAUUCGAUGCAACGCGAAGAACCUUACCAAGGCUUGACAUAUACCGGAAACGGCUAGAGAUAGUCGCCCCGCAAGGUCGGUAUA